ACGCGUUAUUCCGAAUAGAAAAAAAGCGCAAUGUUGAAUCUGUACUCACCACAUGUGAGCUGUUACAUUUGUUGUGCAUACGGCGCCACUUGUCUAGUCUCGUGCUCAUAUCCCACUGUGCGGGCGAGAAAAAAGAAAUCCUGCAUCAGGUUCAUGUCUUUUUCUUUUUCAAUUAUACCGCUCCUAAAUCUGCAGUCAACGGAAUGCGGUGCGUUAUCUUCAUGAUCUUCGGCGCUUUAGCGCUGUCCGUGCUUUGUGAGACCGGACGUUUCAACGGUGUUCCAUGCGAUGUGAAAGCCACGAUUGUCAACCGGACAGAAAUAAUGAUUCGCUGUAACCAGACUUGCGAUGGGAAUUCGUCAUUGCCGGACACAACGCCUUGCCACGUAAGUGCAUAACUCUUGCCGU
rnacentral:lncRNA from 1 species